GAUCAUGGCUCAGGACGAACGCUGGCGGCGCGCCUAACACAUGCAAGUCGAACGAGCGAGAGAGAGCUUGCUUUCUCGAGCGAGUGGCGAACGGGUGAGUAACGCGUGAGGAAUCUGCCUCAAAGAGGGGGACGAACAGUUGGAAACGACUGCUAAUACCGCAUAAGCCCACGGUGCCGCAUGGCACAGAGGGAAAAGGAGUAAUCCGCUUUGAGAUGGCCUCGCGUCCGAUUAG
rnacentral:rRNA from 1 species